rnacentral:rRNA from 1 species
CCUACGGGUGGCAGCAGUGAGGAAUAUUGGUCAAUGGGCGCGAGCCUGAACCAGCCAAGUAGCGUGAAGGAUGACUGCCCUACGGGUUGUAAACUUCUUUUAUAAGGGAAUAAAGUGAGGCACGUGUGCCUUUUUGUAUGUAUUCUAUGAAUAAGGAUCGGCUAACUCCGUGCCAGCAGCCGCGGUAAUACGGAGGAUCCGAGCGUUAUCCGGAUUUAUUGGGUUUAAAGGGAGCGUAGAUGGGUUGUUAAGUCAGUUGUGAAAGUUGGGGGCUCAACCGCCAAAUUGCAUUUGAAACUGGAAGCCUUGAGUGCAGGAGAGGUAAGCGGAAUUCGUGGUGUAGCGGUGAAAUGCUUAGAUAUCACGAAGAACUCCGAUUGCGAAGGCAGCCUACUGGACUGCCACUGACGUUGAUGCUCGAAAGUGUGGGUAUCAAACAGGAUUAGAUACCCGAGUAGUC